UUGCUCACUUCUUGAUCCUACCUUUUGUCUUCUUAAGCCACAUUUCUGGGGUAUUGCACUGUAAGAUGCUACAUUGAAGAAGUGGCCUGCAGUCAGCCGAGGGCAGCUAGGCACAUCUAUUAAUUCAAAGCUCACAGAGCUGAGAAGAUCUACAAGAUAAUUUCUUGGGGGGUAUUUCUGUAAAUUUUUUUGUUCUUGUACUUUGAUUGUUCUUAAGUUAAUAAAUAAUGUUAAAUAUCUGCA